UGAGGUUGAUCUGUCAGUUUAGCUGACAUCCUGCGUUUAAAGAAAGUAUUAGAUACAGAAAACAAAACCUGUUUCUGUCUAGAAAAUGAAGUGCCAAAGGAGAAACCCACAACCUCAGUUUGGGAGGAGAGAGCAGGCGAUGUGGGGCGCUGACUUUCACAUUGAACAUGACAGGUAGCCCAGAUGGUUUCUCAAUGGAAAAUGACUUUUCCCGAAGACAUUCUACCAUAUCUGCAAUGUUUCUAGUGCUUACACAUUUGGGUGAAUGAAUAUCAACUUCAUGGUCAUCUUGGGAACAAGAAGUGUGGAGCCAACUCUUAACUCUGAUGUGAAAUCUCAUUGGCCAGUUGACUGCUUCCAAUAUGGGACAAGUGGGACACCAAUAUUCUGGGAAGGAGUAAACAGUAGCUCCAGAGAGGAGUAGCAAUUAUGGAUAGCGAGGCUGUGUGUGUGGUCUGGAGGGCCUUGCCACACAUAGCAAGGACAUCUGAGGCUCUAGGCCAGGUGUGUCAGCACACCUGAGCUUGUGGCAAGAUUUGGAAAAGAAGGUCGCGAAACUGAAGGACUAGCCCAAGGCCUCCAUUAUGGGUUGGAUGGUGUCCCCCCAAAACAGGGAUGAAGUGCUCACCCUCAGACCUCAGAAGGUACCCUUGUUUGGAAAUAAGGUCGUCGCAGAUUUCAUAGUUGAGGUCGUACUGGAGGAGGGUGGGCCCCUAAUCCAACAGGACUGGUGGCCUUAUAAAAAGACGGCCAUGUGAAGACAGACUCAGGGGGAAGACCCUGUGAGGAUGGAGGCAGAGGCUGGAGCGAAACAUCCACAAGCCAAGGAACACGGAGGAUUGCUGCCGCCACCAGAGGCUGGGACAGAGGCGUGGAUCACAUUCUCCCUCACAACCCUCAAAGAACCCUGCCAACACGUUGAUUUUCGACUUCUAGCCUCCAGAACUGUGACAGAAUAAAUUUUAAGCCACCUAGUUUCUGGUGCUUUGUUACAGUAGCCAGAGCAAACCAAGACGGUGACACAGCUAGUAAGUGGGGAAUGGAGAUCGAAGCCCAGAGUCUGGCUCCACAGUCACACUCUCAACCUCUGUACGUUCCUCAGCAGAAAGGAGAGCGCAGUGUAAGGAGUCGAGAG
rnacentral:lncRNA from 1 species